rnacentral:misc_RNA from 1 species
GAUGAAGAACGUAGUGAAAUGCGAUAAGUAAUGCGAAUUGCAGAAUUCAGUGAGUCAUCGAAUCUUUGAACGCACAUUGCGCCCUGUGGUAUUCCGCAGGGCAUGCCUGUUCGAGCGUCAUUUCAACCCUCAAGCUCUGCUUGGUGUUGGGCCCUGCCCGCUCGCGGCCGGCCCUAAAGACAGUGGCGGUGCCGUCUGGCUCUAAGCGUAGUACAUCUCUCGCUCUGGUGCCCGGCGGUGUCCUGCCAGAACCCCCCAACUCUGUGGUUGACCUCGGAUCAGGUAGGGAUACCCGCUGAACUUAAGCAUAUCAAUAAGCGGAGGA